rnacentral:rRNA from 1 species
UCUGGUUGAUCUCGCCAGAUAUAUAUGCUACUUUAAAAGAUUAAGCCAUGCAAGUGUAAGUAUGAGAAUCUCGUAUAUUCUAGACUGCGAACAGCUUAUUAUAAAAGUUAUAAUUUAUUUGAACGUGGAGGAAUAAAACUUCCUCAAUUUAUGUGGAUAACUGUGGGAAAGCUAGAGAUAAUACAUGCAAAAUGACGAGACCUUAGCAAUAGGGAAUCGUUGCAUUAACUGGCAAUAUUAAAGGGGUGCAAACUUCUUUGAUGAGACACAGUUCACUAUUAGCAGAGCGAGCAAUCGCCGCUUCAUUCAAAUCUCUUAUCUAUCAACUUUCGUUGUUCAUAUAGAGGAUGAACAAGGUUGUAACGGGUGACAGAGAAUUAGGGUUUGAUUCUGGAGAGGGAGCCUUAGAAACAGCUACCACUUCCAAGGAAGGCAGCAGGCGCGAAAAUUACCCAAUAAAAAUACUUUGAGGUAGUGACAAAAAAUAACGACGACGUAAAAACUGGCAGAAAUGUCAGUUUGUCGAUUGUAAUGAGUACAAUUUAAAAAAAUUAAUUAGAAUCAACUGGAGGGCAAGUCUGGUGCCAGCAGCCGCGGUAAUUCCAGCUCCAGUAGCGUAUAUUUAAGUUGUUGUAUUUAAAAAGCUCGUAGUUGAAUCUUUUCUAAUGAUUAAUAGGGACAGUUUGGGCAAUUGAUAUUUCUACACGAGCGGUGAAAUGCGUAGACUGUAGAAAGAUCGACUAAUGCGAAAGCAUUUUGCAGAGAUGUUUUCGUUAAUCAAGAACGAAAGUUAAGGGAUCGAAGAUGAUCAGAUACCGUCGUAGUCUUAACUAUAAACAAUGUCGACAAAAGAUGGG